rnacentral:tRNA from 1 species
AACUUUAUAGUCAUUAAUGAUGUUAGACUGCAAUUCUAAAGGAAUAAUUAAAAAUUAUUAAAGUUU